rnacentral:lncRNA from 1 species
GACGUACACAAGGGGCUUGAGCGUUCUGUGGAGAGAGUGCGAGGUCAGGCCAUGAACUUGGGAGAUGGUUUAAAGCUUGAAACUGAAUUACUGGAUGGAAAAACCAAGCUAAUAUUGUCUCCAUAUGAACAUAAAUCAAAAAUUUCUGUGAAGAUGGGAAAUAAGGCCAAGAUUGCAAAAUGUCCUUUAAGAACAAAAACUGGGCACAUUCUAAAAUCAACACAAGAUACUUGUAUUGGGAGUGAAAAACUUUUGCAAAAGAAGCCAGUUGGUUCAGAAACAUCACAGGCAAAAGGUGAAAAAAAUGGAAUGACUUUUUCAUCCACUAAGGAUUUAUGUAAACAAUGUAUAGAUAAAGACUGUCUUCAUAUCCAGAAAGAGAUUUCACCUGCAACCCCUAAUAUGCAGAAGACUAGAAACACCGUAAAUACAUCUCUAGUAGGUAAACAGAAGCCUCACAAAAAACACAUCACAGCUGAAAACAUGAAGAGCAGUUUGGUGUGUCUAACACAAGACCAACUACAACAGAUUUUGAUGACUGUAAACCAAGGAAAUAGAUCUCUUUCCCUGACUGAGAAUGGAAAGGAGGCAAAAAGUCAAUAUAGUCUAUAUUUAAACAGUAUUUCUAAUCAGCCAAAGGAUGAGAACAUUAUGGGAUUAUUCAAAAAAACUGAAAUGGUUUCAUCUGUCCCAGCUGAAAAUAAAUCUGUCUUAAAUGAACAUCAGGAGACAUCUAAACAGUGUGAGCAAAAAAUUGCCAUGUAUGUAACUCCUAUCUGUUGUUAUUGUGUGGUCAUCUUCAGAAUAUGGUUUUGCUUUUCCUUUACUUGCAUGUGAAAUAGUUACUCUGAAUACUUAGAGCUAUUUAAAAGCUUAUUACUUAAUAUUUAUGGAGUCAGUUGUGUAGAAAUGUAUGAUACAGUUUCUGUUAUCUUUUGUGUUUUACCUUAGAGAGAAUGAAUGGAAACCAGCUGAUAUAUUCAGUACUCUGGGGGAAAGGGAAUGUGAUAGAAGUUCGUUGGAAGCAAAAAAAGCCCAGUGGAGGAAAGAGCUAGGUAGGUAACUUUUAUACCUUUAUUAUAGUUUUAUUGGCUUAAAGAAUAUGUAUUGAAGCCGGGCACGGUGGCUCACACCUGUAAUACCAGCACUUUGGGAAGCCGAGGUGGGUGGAUCAGGAGGGCAAGAGAUCAAGACCAUCCUGGCCAACAUGGUGAAAUCCCAUCUCUACUAAAAAUAUAAAAAUUAGCUGGGCGUGGUGGUGCACGCCUGUAAUCCCAGCUACUCGGGAGGCUGAGGCAGGAGAAUUGCUUGAACCUGGGAGGCAGAGGUUGCAGUGAGCCAAGAUCGUGCCACUGCACUCCAGCUGGGCUACCGAGCAAGACUC